GCGUCACUAAUUCAAUGGUUAGAAUAUCCGACUUUUAAUCGGAAGGCUGUAGGUUCGAGUCCUACGUGGCGUA
rnacentral:tRNA from 1 species